GCCCUUCAGAGGGGGGCGAACAGUUGGAAACGACUGCUAAUACCGCAUACGAUCUAAUCUCGGCAUCGAGGAAAGAUGAAAGGUGGCCUCUAUUUAUAAGCUAUCACUGAAGGAGGGGAUUGCGUCUGAUUAGCUAGUUGGAGGGGUAACGGCCCACCAAGGCGAUGAUCAGUAGCCGGUCUGAGAGGAUGAACGGCCACAUUGGGACUGAGACACGGCCCAGACUCCUACGGGAGGCAGCAUG
rnacentral:rRNA from 1 species